rnacentral:piRNA from 1 species
UAUUUGUAUAUAUUGUUCCCACCAGAGAA